rnacentral:rRNA from 1 species
UACAGAGGUCUCAAGCGUUGUUCGGAUUCAUUGGGCGUAAAGGGUGCGUAGGUGGCGCCAUAAGUCAGGUGUGAAAUCUCGGGGCUUAACUCCGAAACUGCAUUUGAUACUGUGGUGCUUGAGGACUGGAGAGGAGACUGGAAUUCACGGUGUAGCAGUGAAAUGCGUAGAUAUCGUAAGGAAGGCCGGUGGCGAAAGCGAGCCUCUGGACAGUUACUGACGCUGAUGCACGAAGGCCAGGGGAGCAAACGGG